UGUACACAAUACAUCCAUUCAAUAAAAUACCAAUAAAUAAGACAAAUAUAAAAAACAAAUUAAAGUAAAAAUAUAUUAGCUAGAGGCAUUAAACAGUCUCAUGGUGGCCAGGACAAAUGAUCUUUUAUACCCCUCAGUCCUGCAUUUCAUGGAGAGGAGUCUGUCACUGCGGCUGCUUUUCUGAGCAACCACAGUAUCGUGCAGAGAAUGAGAUUUAAUGUUCAUGAUUGAGCUCU